AAUAGAUACCCAGGUAGUCCACGCCGUAAACGGUGGGCACUAGGUGUGGGCAGCAUUCCACGUUGUCCGUGCCGUAGCUAACGCAUUAAGUGCCCCGCCUGGAGAGUACGGCCGCAAGGCUAAAACUCAAAGGAAUUGACGGGGGCCCGCACAAGCGGCGGAGCAUGUGGCUUAAUUCGACGCAACGCGAAGAACCUUACCAAGGCUUGACAUACACCGGAAACAUCCAGAGAUGGGUGCCCCCUUGUGGUCGGUGUACAGGUGGUGCAUGGCUGUCGUCAGCUUGUGUCGUGAGAUGUUGGGUUAAGUCCCGCAACGAGCGCAACCCUUGUCCCGUGUUGCCAGCAGGCCCUUGUGGUGCUGGGGACUCACGGGAGACCGCCGGGGUCAACUCGGAGGAAGGUGGGGACGACGUCAAGUCAUCAUGCCCCUUAUGUCUUGGGCUGCACACGUGCUACAAUGGCCGGUACAAUGAGCUGCGAUACCGCGAGGUGGAGCGAAUCUCAAAAAGCCGGUCUCAGUUCGGAUUGGGGUC
rnacentral:rRNA from 1 species